rnacentral:tRNA from 1 species
GGGCGUUUAGCUCAAUUGGUAGAGCACCUCGCUUACACCGAGGUGGUUACAGGUUCGAGUCCUGUAGCGCCCA